GGGACACACAGACCCCGGGAGGGGACACACAGAUCCCGGGAGGGGACACCCUCAGCGGAGAGCGGCCCAGGGCUGGGCUCGCCCUCCCCUCUCCUCAGUGGCACUGAAGCUUCUGGCAGGGAAAAAUCCUCAUUUUCCCGACUCCAGACACGUGAAAACACCGCAGCACACACAGAGCCCCCGGAGCAUCCCCCAAAUCCCGGCGCGAGCCUCCGGGACCCAUCCGGGCUGCCCGGACCCCCCCGGGACCCUCGAGCCGGUACCACAACACACCUGAAUUAACAGCGGCGAGCAGGUGACGCCAAAAUCGCUGCAAUUCCUCUCUCCGAAUCCUUAAUCUGCUUUUCCCCGGCUGACAUCAGCGCUCAGCUCACCAGCUACCUCCACAAGAAGAGAACCACAGCAAGCCACAGCCACCCUUCAGCCACGAGAAUUAAAUCCAUAAAUCCCCACAUUUUCAGCUCGGGGUUGCUUUGGGAUGCUCCGGGCUGGAAUUCCCGGGGAUGCUGCCCAGCGAUUCUUCUGGGAGUUGCUGGGGGGAAAUCCUGCAAAGCAACUUCAGGAGGCUCUGGAGCCCAUCGGAGGCAGCGGGGAGGGCUCGGCCGGCGGAGCAGAGACGGAACAAAAGCCCGAGCGAUGCUGAAUUAGGUGCCUUUCCUAAUUGUAAAGGAGGAUUGUGAGGCUGUGUGUGGCUGCGGGGCGGGAGGGGGCGGGUGAAGGGGCGAUGGGGAGAGGCCUCCAUCCCUCCCUCCCACCCGGCUGGGCCCGCAACCCCGAGCCGAGCUGCUGCAUAAAUUAUCUCCUGCUUAAAUUAUCUCCUCUUCUCCAUCCCUGCCUCCCGAGCCGCGCAUCCCCCGGGCUCCCCCGCUCCGCGCACGGAGGAUGCGGUACCCAGGGCAGGGUCCCCGCUGCCCCCCGCCCCGGGCAGCCUCUCCCAGCGGCUCUUCCCGGCCUUUCCAGCCUCUCCCAGUUCUUCCCGGCUCGCCUCUCUCCUGCUUCCCCCGUUCCUGCUUUGUCUCCGGCCCCGAGCAGACACAAAAGAGCCUCUGACCUGGGAGGAGAAAUCUCCUUUUCCAGGGAAAGAAUCAAAAAGCCCAUCCGAGGUCUCCGGUGCGCGCUCUGAGCAGGCAGGGGAUUAAAACUGCCUGGGAAAAGGAGGCAGCAUUGCUCCCCUAAUGAGUGUAAUUAGCGGGGUGAGGAUGGAAGCGGCUUUCCCUGCGGCUUUCCCUGGCUGCCCGCGCUCUUCCAUUGGGGUUUUUUUGGGGAAAAACAGCGUUUUGUCACUUCCAGGAGCCGCUGGGGCAGGAGCUGGCCCUGGGUGCAGCUCUCUGUGCCUGGAUCACCUCGGUCUCCAAGCAGGGAGGUUCAGACAGGAUUAAAUCCCAAACACCCAUCCCGAGUUCUCCGGGGUUUGGCAAAGCCAAGUCGGGUUUGGGACCCUUUUUUUGUUGUUGUUUUUUUUUUUUGUUGUUCCUUUCCGCGGCUCGUUGCUAUCACUCCACCUCAGCUCUCCCAAAUCCAGGGGGACAGGGCCCUGGAGGGGGACAAGGACCCUCCGUGCUCUCUGCCCUCUGAAUGACUCCAAAAAUCCAAAUUUUAGCCGCAGAUUUCGGCUGCGAGGAUGUGGGGGAGGCGUGGGAUGGGCUGAGGAUGGAGCAGCGUCCAUCCUGCGCAUCCUUCCCCUAAAUGAGGGUGGGACAAGCGAUGUUGGGGCAGUUCAUUAACUGCUGGGCCUAAUGAGCUGCUCCAAGGAGCCUGGGAUGAGGGGACAAUGCUGGAUCUGGGAUUGCCGGGGCAGGAGGUCCAGGAAGGGCUGAUCCAUCUCCCAGCAUCUUCUCCUCUCCGACAUUGUGCUCACUUGUUGUUUUUUUUUUUUUAUUUUAUUAUUUUUAUUUAAUUGUCUUGCUGUCCCUCAUUUGCAUAAUCCCCCAUAAUGCAGCGCAGCAGGACUUUUGCUCUGAGCUAAUAAAUAGACGACAAAAAUAAACGUGUCAUGUAAGAUUUGCUUCCAUUCCUUGCCUUUGUGAGGGAGCUUUCACCGAGGGAUGACGCUGCCGGCCUUGAUCUCACAGGAGCACGAGCAGCGAUUUCCCCGAGCCCCUGGUGCUCAACUUUGCCAGAUGUUUCCAGCUGAA